GCCCUUGUCGUUCAAUGGAUAGGACAUCAGUUUCCGGAACUGGCGAUACAGGUUCGAUUCCUGUCAAGGGCACCA
rnacentral:tRNA from 1 species